rnacentral:ncRNA from 2 species
GGACGAAACUCUGGAGAGACUCGAAAGAGCACCGAAGGAGCAAGUGAGUAUAUUAUUACUCGCGAAACUCUCAGGUAAAAGGACAGAGGCGCUUUA